CCAUUCCGCUCCAUCAGACAUUCCAGUCGAACUUCAGCCGUCAGACCCGAACUCUCUGGCAAGUCAUGACAAUGGCCACUACCCUACUCCACUCUCUAUAAUGGAUUCCAUGUGGCUCCACCACUCUCUGGCAAGUCGCGACAACGGACACCACUCCACUCUCCAUAACAAACUCCAUGUGGCCCUGAACGACCCCCUGACGCCACUAUUCUCCGUAACAAACUCCGCGUGGCCCUGAACGGCCCACUAUCAGGCAGUUAUAGACGUCGCUAUCAAUCAGUUACGCUCUCCAUCUAUAAAAAGGAACCUCCAGAUACGUUCUUCUCUAAGCUCUAAACUCUAUCUCGAAACUCUGUUAAAAUCCCAUUCGAGUGCUCCAUUUCUGUUGAGGCAGAGUACUGACUUGAGCGUCGGAGGAUCUUGCUGGAGUACCCCCAACUCUAGUUUAGACUUUCCUUGUAGGUCUCGAUGGCGGACGCGAUCCCCUCGACUCCAGCUUCUCCGGCGUCGGCAGAAUUUUGCACCAACAGAAUUGGCGCUAGAGGAAGGGUCCUAUGUCUUCGCAGUACCCUUGUUCUUAAAGAAGCACUCAACGGGAUUGUCUUUGGUCAUCUUCUUUGACAUUUUCUCCUUCUUCUCCUGCCAGAUCUCCACCUGAUGCCUCCCCGAAAGGCAUCCACGACCUCCGUGGUC
rnacentral:lncRNA from 1 species